CACAGACACACAUAUAUAUGCAAACACAUAUACUUAUUUAAUCCUCACAAUGACCCUAUGAAGUAAGUAUCCUAAUCUCCAUUUUAUAGUUGAGGAACUGAAGACACUAACAGGUGAAGAAAAUUGCCCAAAGUUGAUUAGCUGUUGAGUAGUAGAGCUGGGAUUCAAAUUUUUAAGUUGGCCCUAGAGUCCAGACACUCAAUGACUCUUCUACAUAAGGCAAGAAUAAGGGAGUGGAUAUACUAUGAAGAGGAAACAGCAUAAUCAAGGACCCACAGGCAAGAAACUAUAUGAAGAGUACACGGAGGAGUAAGUGGGAAGCAGACAGUGGCAAGAAGUGAGGUGUGGAAACUGAGGUUUGUAGAGGAGCAAUGAAUUGGAUCAAAGAGCUGGUAAGUUGUGAGUCUGAUCCCAAGAGGAUGCACUUUCAUG
rnacentral:lncRNA from 1 species